AGUGAACGCUGGCGGUAGGCCUAACACAUGCAAGUCGAACGGCAGCACAGUAGGAGCUUGCUCUUACGGGUGGCGAGUGGCGGACGGGUGAGGAAUACAUCGGAAUCUACUUUUUCGUGGGGGAUAACGUAGGGAAACUUACGCUAAUACCGCAUACGACCUACGGGUGAAAGCAGGGGAUCUUCGGACCUUGCGCGAUUGAAUGAGCCGAUGUCGGAUUAGCUAGUUGGCGGGGUAAAGGCCCACCAAGGCGACGAUCCGUAGCUGGUCUGAGAGGAUGAUCAGCCACACUGGAACUGAGACACGGUCCAGACUCCUACGGUAGGCAGCAGUGGGGAAUAUUGGACAAGGGGCGCGAGCCUGAUCCAGCCAUACCGCGUGGGUGAAGAAGGCCUUCGGGUUGUAAAGCCCUUUUGUUGGGAAAGAAAAGCAGCAGGUUAAUACCCCGCUGUUCUGACGGUACCCAAAGAAUAAGCACCGGCUAACUUCGUG
rnacentral:rRNA from 1 species